UACGGAGGGUGCAAGCGUUAUCCGGAUUCACUGGGGUUAAAGGGAGCGUAGGUGGGUCUGUAAGUCCGUGGUGAAAUCUCCGAGCUUAACUUGGAAACUGCCAUGGAUACUAUAGGUCUUGAAUAUUGUGGAGGUCAGCGGAAUAUGUCAUGUAGCGGUGAAAUGCUUAGAGAUGACAUAGAACACCAAUUGCGAAGGCAGCUGGCUACGCAUAUAUUGACACUGAGGCUCGAAAGCGUGGGGAUCAAACAGG
rnacentral:rRNA from 1 species